CUAGUUUAAAUAUAAAAAAUGUUUUGUAUAUCUUUAAAGAGGACUCUGUUUAUUUAAAUAAGGUAAAAAAGAAGAAAAAAAAAACAAUAAAGUCUUAAUGGGGCAGCGAACAUUUUUUUUCCAUAUGGUUAAAUUAGAUUCAUCCAAAGGCUAAUAAAUUAUUAAAGUCCAUAUGUCCAUUAGCCAAUAUAUUCCUUGCGCAAUUAUCUC
rnacentral:lncRNA from 1 species